rnacentral:lncRNA from 1 species
GGCAGCGCGACGCCGGGUGGCCCAGCAGCGGGCGGGUGCCGGGGGCGGAAGCGCGGCCACAAGAGGGGGCGAUUCACCGCCGCCCCCCGUGGGACCUGGGUCCUCUACGCGGGACCGCAGGGGCCCCGAGUCGCGGGUUGGGCAAGGUCGCCCGCUCCGGGUCGCUCGGAAGGGUCAUUUCACGGACCGGUCGUCUGGGGCCAGUGCGUCUUGCCCCGCACGGAAGACCCCUCGCUUCGAGGACAGGAAAGCUUUUAAAGAACAAAGAUUUCUAACAAGAGAGAGAAUAUCUUCCCGAUUCGACUCCCAUAUGUCAAGAGACUCAGAUGUGACUCAUAUUUGCCUGCCAGGAGGAGGAAAAAGAAAUACACUGUCCAGGAGCAACUCCUUAGUGGGUACCCACCAGAAGUGGUCUCCAAACAAGGGCUGUUCCAAGCUCUGAGGAUGAAGAAGUGGGAAGAGGAGACAAGUCCCUCCAAUCUAGUCGGGAAGGUGUAUUCUCACUGUUUCACCUCAGGCUGUUCUCAAGUGUGUCUGAUCCAUAAUAGGAACACAGUGUUCAUGCAUUCAUGCUGGUCUUGCUUGGAAAAAGAUCAUCUUUCUUGGUUUUUUGGCUAUAACAAAUAGUUUGUAUUAAUAGUAGCCAAAUUUUUAACUUUCCAUCAAAAUAUGCCAUGUCCAAUUUUGUCCAUAAUUAUGUUAACUCAGGAGCUCAAAAUUGUGCCAUAUUUAUCCAAGAGAAAUAAAAACAUAUUCACAAAAAAACCUCUUUGUACCAGAAUGUAGUGUUCAUUGCAGCUUUAUUUCUAAUAGCCAAAAAAAAAAAAAAAAACACCCCAGCCGAGAUAUCCAUCAAUAGGAGAAUGGAUAAACAAGUUGUGGCAUAUUCACCAAUGAAAAGGAAUGAGCCACUGAUGCAAGCAAAUGGCAUAAGUGAGUCUCAGAAACAUUCUUCUGAGUGAAAGAAGAGUACACACUGCAUCAUGAUUCCAUCUAUAUGCAGACCCGACUAGAACAGGCACAACUAAUCUAUGGUGGGAAAACGUGAAGCCACAAGGGAUGGGGGCAAGAAUCGAGUGGGUAGGGGCAUGGGAGACCUUCUGAGGGUGAUGGCAGUUUAUCUUGAUGAGGUGUUGGGUACACAGGUGCAUCUUUUUUUUUUUUUUUUGAGACAGAGUCUCACUCCUGCCCAGGCUGGAGUGUAGUGACACAAUCACAGCUCACUGCAACCUCCGCCUCCUGGGUUCAAGUGAUUCUCCUGCCUCAGCCUCCCGAGUAGCUGGUUACAGGCAUGCCCCACCACACCUGGCUAAUUUUUGUAUUUUUAAUAGAGAUGGGGUUUCGCCAUGUUGGCCAGGCUGGUCUGGAACUGCUGACCUCAAGUAAUCUGCUCGACUUGGCCUCCCAAAGUGCUAGGAUUACAGGCAUGAGCUACCACGCCCGGCCACAGGUGCAUCUUAU